AUUGAACGCUGGCGGAAUGCUUUACACAUGUAAGUCGAACGGCAGCACGGACUUCGGUCUGGUGGCGAGUGGCGAACGGGCGAGUAAUGUAUCGGAACGUGCCCAGUCGUUGGGGAUGAUGUAGUGUAACUUACGCUAAUACCGCAUACGAUCUAGGGAUGAAAUUGGGGGAUUGCAAGACACUGCGCGACUGGAGCGGCUGAUAUCAGAUUAGGUAGUUGGCGGGGUAAAGGCCCACCAGGCCAACAAUCUGUAGCUGGUCUGAGAGGACGAACAGCCACGCAGGACCCGAGACACGGUCCAGACUCCUACGGGAGGCAGCAGUGGCGAAUUCUGAACAAUGGGCGAAAGCCUGAGCCAGCCAUUCCGCGUGCAGGAUGAAGGCCCUCGGGUUGUAAACUGCUUUUGUACAGAACGAAAAGGUUUCUACUAAUACUAGUCGCUCAUGCCGGUACUGUAAGAAUAAGCACCGGCUAACUACGUGCCAGCCGCCGCAGUAA
rnacentral:rRNA from 1 species